rfam:Felis catus isolate Cinnamon breed Abyssinian chromosome A1, whole genome shotgun sequence.
GCCUGGGUGGCUCAGCCAGUUGAGCAUCCGACUUCGGCUCAGGUCAUGAUCUCACGGUUCGUGGGUUCGAGCCCCAUGUCAGGCU